rnacentral:rRNA from 1 species
GAAGGCCCAGACAGCCAGGAUGUUGGCUUAGAAGCAGCCAUCAUUUAAAGAAAGCGUAAUAGCUCACUGGUCGAGUCGGCCUGCGCGGAAGAUGUAACGGGGCUAAACCAUGCACCGAAGCUGCGGCAGCGAACGUAUCACCCAAGACAACUUUACGGAGUUGACGAUUGACGGAGCGAAGCGACGUCAAAGCGUUCAUUAAAGUCGAGUUGGCUUAGGGAUACGUUCGUUGGGUAGGGGAGCGUUCUGUAAGCCUGUGAAGGUGUGUCGUGAGGCAUGCUGGAGGUAUCAGAAGUGCGAAUGCUGACAUAAGUAACGAUAAAGCGGGUGAAAAGCCCGCUCGCCGGAAGACCAAGGGUUCCUGUCCAACGUUAAUCGGGGCAGGGUGAGUCGACCCCUAAGGCGAGGCCGAAAGGCGUAGUCGAUGGGAAACGGGUUAAUAUUCCCGUACUUGGUGUUACUGCGAAGGGGGGACGGAGAAGGCUAUGUUGGCCGGGCGACGGUUGUCCCGGUUUAAGCGUGUAGGUGUGUGUUCCAGGUAAAUCCGGUUCACUUUAACACUGAGGCGUGACGACGAGGCACUACGGUGCUGAAGCAACAAAUGCCCUGCUUCCAGGAAAAGCCUCUAAGCAUCAGGUAACAUCAAAUCGUACCCCAAACCGACACAGGUGGUCAGGUAGAGAAUACCAAGGCGCUUGAGAGAACUCGGGUGAAGGAACUAGGCAAAAUGGUGCCGUAACUUCGGGAGAAGGCACGCUGACACGUAGGUGAA